UACGUAGGGGGCUAGCGUUGUCCGGAAUCAUUGGGCGUAAAGAGCGUGUAGGCGGUCCGGUAAGUCCGCUGUGAAAGUCGGGGGCUCAACCCUCGAAUGCCGGUGGAUACUGUCGGGCUAGAGUGCGGAAGAGGCGAGUGGAAUUCCUGGUGUAGCGGUGAAAGUGCGCAGAUAUCAGGAGGAACACCGGUGGCGAAGGCGGGGUCUCUGGGCCGAUACUGACGCUGAGGAGCGAAAGCGUGGGGAGCGAACAGG
rnacentral:rRNA from 1 species